ACGGGUGAGUAACACGUGGGCAAUCUGCCCUUCACUCUGGGACAAGCCCUGGAAACGGGGUCUAAUACCGGGUAUCACUUCCACUCGCAUGGGUGGGGGUUGAAAGCUCCGGCGGUGAAGGAUGAGCCCGCGGCCUGUCAGCUUGUUGGUGAGGUAACGGCUCACCAAGGCGACGACGGGUAGCCGGCCUGAGAGGGCGACCGGCCACACUGGGACUGAGACACGGCCCAGACUCCUACGGGAGGCAGCAGUGGGGAAUAUUGCACAAUGGGCGAAAGCCUGAUGCAGCGACGCCGCGUGAGGGAUGACGGCCUUCGGGUUGUAAACCUCUUUCAGCAGGGAAGAAGCGAAAGUGACGGUACCUGCAGAAGAAGCGCCGGCUAACUACGUGCCAGCAGCCGCGGUAAUACGUAGGGCGCAGGCGUUGUCCGGAAUUAUUGGGCGUAAAGAGCUCGUAGGCGGUCUGUCGCGUCGGAUGUGAAAGCCCGGGGCUUAACCCCGGGUCUGCAUUCGAUACGGGCAGACUAGAGUGUGGUAGGGGAGAUCGGAAUUCCUGGUGUAGCGGUGAAAUGCGCAGA
rnacentral:rRNA from 1 species